rnacentral:pre_miRNA from 1 species
AGUGGAAUUGCUGGGUCAAAUGAUAACUCUAUGUUUAACUUUUUGAGGAACUCCCAAGCUGUUUUCCAAAGAAGCUAUACCAUUUUAUUUCCCCACCAGCAAU